rnacentral:rRNA from 1 species
AUUGAACGCUGGCGGCAUGCCUUACACAUGCAAGUCGAACGGCAGCACGGGAGCAAUCCUGGUGGCGAGUGGCGAACGGGUGAGUAAUAUAUCGGAACGUGCCCAGUCGUGGGGGAUAACGUAGCGAAAGCUACGCUAAUACCGCAUACGAUCUACGGAUGAAAGCGGGGGAUCGCAAGACCUCGCGCGAUUGGAGCGGCCGAUAUCAGAUUAGCUAGUUGGUGGGGUAAAAGCUCACCAAGGCGACGAUCUGUAGCUGGUCUGAGAGGACGACCAGCCACACUGGAACUGAGACACGGUCCAGACUCCUACGGGAGGCAGCAGUGGGGAAUUUUGGACAAUGGGCGCAAGCCUGAUCCAGCAAUGCCGCGUGCAGGAUGAAGGCCUUCGGUUGUAACUAGCUUUUGUACGGUACGAAACGGUGAGCUCUAAUAAGACUUGCUAAUGACGGUACCGUAAGAAUAAGACACGGCUAACUACGUGACCG